rnacentral:rRNA from 1 species
CCUACGGGAGGCUGCAGUCGAGAAUCAUUCACAAUGGGGGAAACCCUGAUGGUGCGACGCCGCGUGGGGGAAUGAAGGUCUUCGGAUUGUAAACCCCUGUCAUGUGGGAGCAAAUUAAAAAGAUAGUACCACAAGAGGAAGAGACGGCUAACUCUGUGCCAGCAGCCGCGGUAAUACAGAGGUCUCAAGCGUUGUUCGGAAUCACUGGGCGUAAAGCGUGCGUAGGCUGUUUCGUAAGGCGUGUGUGAAAGGUGCGGGCUCAACCCGCGGACGGCACAUGAUACUGCGAGACUAGAGUAAUGGAGGGGGAACCGGAAGUCUCGGUGUAGCAGUGAAAUGCGUAGAUAUCGAGAGGAACACUCGUGGCGAAGGCGGGUUCCUGGACAUUAACUGACGCUGAGGCACGAAGGCCAGGGGAGCGAAAGGGAUUAGAUACCCCAGUAGUC